CAAAGAUGACCUGUUGUUGAAUAUCUUUUGCCUGUAGUGCAAAGAUGAAAUGAUAAUGAAUAUCUUUAGCUUGUAGUGCAAAGAUGAAUUAUUGGUGAAUAUCUUUGGCUCAUAGUGCAAAGAUGACUUGUUGAAUAUCUUUGGCCUGUAGUGCAAAGAUGAAUUAUUGGUGAAUAUCUUUGGCCCGUAGCGCAAAGAUGACC
rnacentral:lncRNA from 1 species